UACGUAGGGUGCAAGCGUUGUCCGGAAUUAUUGGGCGUAAAGAGCUCGUAGGCGGUCUGUCGCGUCUGCUGUGAAAACUCGGGGCUUAACCCCGGGCCUGCAGUGGGUACGGGCAGACUAGAGUGCGGUAGGGGAGACUGGAAUUCCUGGUGUAGCGGUGAAAUGCGCAGAUAUCAGGAGGAACACCAGUGGCGAAGGCGGCUCUCUGGGCCUUACCUGACGCUGAGACGCGAAAGCGUGGGGAGCGAACCGG
rnacentral:rRNA from 1 species